rnacentral:rRNA from 1 species
UACGUAGGGUGCGAGCGUUAUCCGGAAUUAUUGGGCGUAAAGCGUCCGCAGGUGGCACUUCAAGUCUGCUGUCAAAGACCGGGGCUUAACCCCAGAAAGGCAGUGGAAACUGAAGUGCUAGAGUGCAGUAGGGGUAGAGGGAAUUCCCGGUGUAGCGGUGAAAUGCGUAGAGAUCGGGAAGAACAUCGGUGGCGAAAGCGCUCUGCUGGACUGCAACUGACACUCAGGGACGAAAGCUAGGGGAGCGAAUGGG